AUUGAACGCUGGCGGCAUGCCUUACACAUGCAAGUCGAACGGCAGCACGGGAGCAAUCCUGGUGGCGAGUGGCGAACGGGUGAGUAAUACAUCGGAACGUGCCCAGUUGUGGGGGAUAGCCCGGCGAAAGCCGGAUUAAUACCGCAUACGACCUACGGGUGAAAGCGGGGGAUCGCAAGACCUCGCGCUAUUGGAGCGGCCGAUGUCGGAUUAGCUAGUUGGUGGGGCAAAAGCCUACCAAGGCUACGAUCCGUAGCUGGUCUGAGAGGACGACCAGCCACACUGGGACUGAGACACGGCCCAGACUCCUACGGGAGGCAGCAGUGGGGAAUUUUGGACAAUGGGCGCAAGCCUGAUCCAGCAAUGCCGCGUGCAGGAAGAAGGCCUUCGGGUUGUAAACUGCUUUUGUACGGAACGAAACGGUCCUGGUUAAUACCCGGGGCUAAUGACGGUACCGUAAGAAUAAGCACCGGCUAACUACGUGCCAGCCGCCGCCGUAAAAC
rnacentral:rRNA from 1 species